UACGAAGGGUGCAAACGUUGCUCGGAAUUAUUGGGCGUAAAGCGCACGUAGGCGGCUUAGCAAGUCGGAAGUGAAAUCCCUCGGCUCAACCAAGGAAGUGCUUUCGAAACUGCUGAGCUUGAGUACGAAAGAGGAUCGCGGAAUUCCCGGUGUAGAGGUGAAAUUCGUAGAUAUUGGGAAGAACACCGAUGGCGAAGGCAGCCAUCUGGACCGACACUGACGCUGAGGCGCGAAAGCGUGGGGAGCAAACAGG
rnacentral:rRNA from 1 species